ensembl:misc_RNA 7SK 7SK RNA
GGAUGUGAGGGCGAUCUGGCUGCAACACCUGUCAUCCCACUGAUCGACAGGGUUGAUUCGGCUGAUCUGGCUGGCUAGGCGGGUGUCCCCUUUCUCCCUCACUGCUCCAUGUGCGUCCCUCCCAAAGCUGCGUGCUGGGUCAAAGAGGACGACCAUCCCCGAUAGAGGAGGACCAUUUCCUCGGUCAAGGGUAUAUGAGUAGCUGCACUCCCCUGCUAGAAUCUCCAAACAAGCUCUCAUCAUUAUAACAAAAUAUAUGAGAUAAUAAGAUAACAUAUGAGAUAAUUAAUUAAUUAAAGGUUUAUUU